AUUGAACGCUGGCGGCAUGCUUUACACAUGCAAGUCGAACGGCAGCGCGGGCUUCGGCCUGGCGGCGAGUGGCGAACGGGUGAGUAAUAUAUCGGAACGUACCCAGAAGUGGGGGAUAACGUAGCGAAAGUUACGCUAAUACCGCAUACGAUCUAAGGAUGAAAGUGGGGGACCUUCGGGCCUCAUGCUUUUGGAGCGGCCGAUAUCUGAUUAGCUAGUUGGUGAGGUAAAGGCUCACCAAGGCGACGAUCAGUAGCUGGUCUGAGAGGACGACAAGCCAACCUGGGACUGGGACACGGCCCAGACUCCUACGGGAGGCAGCAGUGGGGAAUUUUGGACAAUGGGGGCAACCCUGAUCCAGCAAUGCCGCGUGAGUGAAGAAGGCCUUCGGGUUGUAAAGCUCUUUUGUCAGGGAAGAAAUGGCAACGGCUAAUAUCCGUUGUUGAUGACGGUACCCGCAUAAGAAGCACCGGCUAACUACGUGCCAGCAGCCGCGGUAAAAC
rnacentral:rRNA from 1 species